AACAUAGUCUUUUGAUACCUAAUAAAAGAUAAUUUCUGCCCAAUGAAUAAAUUUAAAGGCCGCGGGAUCCUAACCGUGCUAAGGUAGCAAAAUAAAUUGUUCUUUAAUUAAGGAAUAGAAUGAAUGAAAACACACUAAGACCCCUGUCUCUAUAAAAAACUAAAAUUUUACCAAAAGGUGAAAAGGCCUUUUUUCUACUAAAAGACAAAAAGACCCUAAAAGCUUUAACCUUAUUAAUAUAACCAUUAUAAAGAAUUUAGCUGGGAAGGCAAAGGAACAUACCUCCUUUUAAAAAAAGAAUUAUUCACAUAAAUAACCACAAAAAGUAAAAAAAGUAAGCUACUUUAGGGGUAACAGGCUAAUGUUCUUCAAGAGUACACAUUGACAAGAACGUUUGGCACCUCGAUGUUGGCUUAGGAAAAGGGUUUUAAGCAAAAAUAAAAUACCAAGGUUUGUUCAACCAUUUAAAUCCUACAUGAUC
rnacentral:rRNA from 1 species